GUGCCUAACACAUGCAAGUCGAACGAGGUAGCAAUACCUAGUGGCAGACGGGUGAGUAACACGUAGUCAACCUACCUUUUAGUGGGGGAUAACUAGCCGAAAGGUUAGCUAAUACCGCAUACGCUCUUCGAGUGGCAUCACUUGAGGAUGAAAGCAGCAAUGCGCUAAGAGACGGGACUGCGUCCCAUUAGUUAGUUGGUGGGGUAAUGGCCUACCAAGACUUCGAUGGGUAGCUGGCUUGAGAGAGCGACCAGCCACACUGGGACUGAGACACGGCCCAG
rnacentral:rRNA from 1 species